GGGGCUAUAGCUCAGCUGGUAGAGCGCCUGGUUCGCAAUCAGGAGGUCGGCGGUUCGAACCCGCCUAGCUCCA
rnacentral:tRNA from 1 species